GCUGCCUCCAGCUGGUAAGGCCGAAAGACCAAGUUCUCCAGCAGGGGACUGCUGACGGCUAAAAACUGUUACCUCUGUCAAGCAUGAAGGACUGUGGGAGGAAUCUGUCUCUGGAAUGGAGACAGACACUGUAGCAGAGAAAAGGAAGAGUGACAGAAGUUUCAGAUGAAAGAAUCGACCACUGAUAAAUCCAUCAUCUGGCAGGGAAGGAGCAGAAGGAACAGAGGGUUUUGGGGAAACGUUGGGAAGCUUCUCCCUGCUCAGAAGCAGACCUCCUGGUUUUAACACGGUGUCCAGUUCAUAGUCAUCAAUCUAAAGGGACGAUCACACCGAGUGUCAGUUGCAACCCUGUCUUCACAUGUGGUAAAAUUGAAGCAUGUAGAAAUUGAGUAGCUGGUUCAAAAUCUUUUGUCCAGUCAGGCACUGCAGUAUUUUUUCUUAACUCCAGACAUGUCCUCUGAACAUUUUCUGCCACUCUUAGGAUUUGAAGUUUCAAAUUUAAAGUUGUGGGGAAUAUGUUCUUGGGCUUUUAGGAAAUCGCUCAUCAGAAAUUACAAUGUGUAUGACCCAAAGGCAAUUCUGGGAUCAAGAGCCACUUGAAUACAUAAAAGCAUACAUGCCUAUGCACAAUAUAGCUUAUUGGAUAUGAAGGUGGUAUAGGCAAGGGUGAUGAAGAAGAAGAAGAAGAAGAAGAAGAAGAAGAAGAAGAAGAAGAAGAAGAAGAAGAAGAAGAAGAAGAAGAAGAAGAAGAAGAAGAAGAAAAAGUUGUUUUGAAUAUUUACCCUGAGCGGUUUCUAGACCACAAGGACAUUGAUGUCUAGAACAGAACUGUCAGGGAGAUGCUACAGUCUUUUUUAUGAAGAUAUUAUUUUGUUUUGUGGAUGCGUACUUUAUAAGGGAAACAGUUUGCAUUAGAGCUAGUGUUUUUGGAGGUGGGGAAAUCCAAGUUCAUAGAGAAAGUGUAUAUUUGGAUUCCUCGGUUCCUGGUGAGAGCCUCAUGCUGCAUCUUCUGGCUGAAUAAGCAGAAUGCACACACAGGUGCACAAAGAGGGACCGCACAUGAAAAGGAGGAAGUACGAGGGGAGAGACAGCCUUGCUUCACAACAUCGGCCUUCUGUCACUCACCUACUCUUGUGAGGAUGGAUGACAUCAAUCCCUCAGAGUUUGGAUCCACCAUGAUCUAAUGAUCUCUCUCAGCAAUGGUGCUUUGGAGAUCAGAUUAAAAUUGACUUUUGGGAGGGAAAAACCACAUCUAAGUCACAGCAGCUACACAAGUUCUCUGAGGAGCAAACAUAUACUGGGAAUGAAAUCAGACUUGACCGUGACGUACAAAACCCGGAAAUACCUAGCUCCUUUUACCUCCUUGACAUCCUCCAAAACCCAUCUUUUGUACCCACUCAGCUCUCAGGUGCAGAGGCUGCUAAUGCACUUGUCUCAGAGCUCUUGCUCUUCCAUGUUGAGCUCUUGGUUUGUAUCAGGCCACACUUCUCUGUGGCUCUCUUGGACAGAGAGUUAGUAAGGCAUCUGUGCUGUGCUUCACAGCAGUGAUAGAUUUAUGCUCCUAACCAGGCGGGCCCUCGGUGCUCUACACUGAACUAAACUGCUUGAUAUGAAACUUCCCAUCACCCUUAAACGGUUUUAAACAAUCAGGUCUUUCCUUUGUUCUAGGGAUGGGUCCAAAGCUCCUCAGGAGGGAUUCUGGGAAGAUUGCUCUGAAGGUUGUUUUCUGAAGAUGUUCCUCUGCCCUUUUACCCCACCGCUCCUAUCCCUCUCCUGGUGGCUACCUAUGGCUCUCUCUCCCUAUCCGUCUCUCAGUCUCACCGUCAGUGAAGCCCCUUUCUGUGUUUCAGAGGGAAUUCUCUCCUUCCCUCUGAGACUCUCAUGCUUAGACCUGCAUACAUUGUCUUCUUUCUGUCUAAUGCUCUUCCUCCCAAGCCCUCCCAUUCUUACAAACCUCUUGGCAGGAAACUGUGCCCACUUUCUUUGUGGACCAAUUCCUGCUGCUCAUCUUUUAUUACAAGUUCCCACUUAUUCUUCCAUUCAUUAACGAAAUCCUUCCAACACAGCCCCUGAUAGGCUCCUUAAACUGUCUGUCACCUUUAUUCCUGUUGCUGUGGAGGUUCUCCCACUCACUCUGUCUCAUGAUCAAUUUCUACCCACAUUAACACACCGGGGGUUGUGCCAUUAAACCCUAAUAGGUUAAACAAGGGGACAUUAUCAAAAAACAUUUGCGUUAAGAGGUGAUGGUAGAUAGUUUCCCAACAAACACACAGUUAUUGCUUCUAUAACUUGCUAUGAAGUGUGGCAGGGCAUUUUUCUGCCAGGGAAGGCAGAAUGGGAGAUAAAAUGAAUCAUAUAUUUCUUAAUUAGUCAAUAAAAGGAAGCAUGUCAUAUUAUAAAUAUAGAGAAACUUUUUGAUGUUAAAUUAAUGAAUGGCAUCAAUCUUUACAUGAAGUUUUUUUCAGCUAUGUAGCAGACCACACUUUGUACAAUAGCUAAGACAAAGGCACAAAGCACACGCAUCUGGUGUUUCCUUUGUCAGCCUUUGGUCCCCUACGGCUUUGCCUAAGGUAGUUCAAUGAUUUCCAGGGAACACACAUGCUUCUAAAAUAUGGUUGGAAAAGCACUUUGAAGCACAAGGUAAGCAUUCUCUGGGCUAGAGAGGUGGUUUAAUGGUUAAGGUCAGGUGUUGCUUUUGCAGACCUGAGUUCAGUUCCUGGAACCCACAGCAGGCAGCUCUAAAUGGCCUGUAGCUCUAGUUCUGGGGG